GUGCCAGGAAAACAGAUUGUUUUCCUGGCACUGGAGUUUCCCUUUAAGCUGAAUUACUUAAAAUACAAACACACAAAAUAAAACUAAACAUAUAAAGUAGUAAGCAUGUUGCAAGAUAUGAAAGCAUUCUUUAUUAUCUUUUAGACGAAUAAUAAACAGAAAACAUGUAGAGUAUUUGAGUCAGGCAUCUGUCACAAUGAUAAUACAGUAGACCUUAAAAAGCCUCAAUAGGAGCCUGAUUCUAAAGAACUGAAUAGCAACUUGCCAGAAUGCCAUACAACAGUCCAGAUAACCCCAAAAACAGGGAUUUUGUUAUAUCAGUUAACUUUGUUCAUAAAGAGGUCACAGAGGGAAGUUUGUCUUUUGCUUUCUGUUUAUGCACCAUCAAUAAACAAGUUGUGAGGGUGAUAUCUUUGUUAUAGUAUUGGUAUUGCCAAUUAAUACUUCACAAAUUGUGAGAAUUGAAAUUGCUGCUUAGUGAAUGAGUGAGUGCACUGGCUCUUGCAUGUUGUAUGAAUUGGCCCCAGCAGCACCCUUAUAAUGUAUGCAUGUUCAGGUGAG